UACGAAGGGGGCUAGCGUUGCUCGGAAUCACUGGGCGUAAAGGGUGCGUAGGCGGGUCUUUAAGUCAGGGGUGAAAUCCUGGAGCUCAACUCCAGAACUGCCUUUGAUACUGAAGAUCUUGAGUUCGGGAGAGGUGAGUGGAACUGCGAGUGUAGAGGUGAAAUUCGUAGAUAUUCGCAAGAACACCAGUGGCGAAGGCGGCUCACUGGCCCGAUACUGACGCUGAUGAGCGAAAGCUAGGGGAGCAAACGGG
rnacentral:rRNA from 1 species